rfam:Ictidomys tridecemlineatus contig029809, whole genome shotgun sequence.
CCAAAGGCUCUUUUCAGAGCCAUCACUGGGCCCAAAAUACCUGUAG